rnacentral:rRNA from 1 species
CGCCCAACUGCAGAGCUGCAGCAAGGGGAGAAAAGUCGUAACAUAGUAGGUGUACCGGAAGGUGCCCCUGGAAAAC